rnacentral:rRNA from 1 species
AUUGAACGCUGGCGGCAUGCUUUACACAUGCAAGUCGAACGGCAGCACGGGUGCUUGCACCUGGUGGCGAGUGGCGGACGGGUGAGUAAUACAUCGGAACGUAUCCCAGAAGAGGGGGAUAACGCAUCGAAAGAUGUGCUAAUACCGCAUAUUCUCUGAGGAGGAAAGCAGGGGCUCGCAAGACCUUGCGCUUUUGGAGCGGCCGAUGUCUGAUUAGCUAGUUGGUGGGGUAAAGGCCUACCAAGGCGACGAUCAGUAGUUGGUCUGAGAGGACGACCAGCCACACUGGGACUGAGACACGGCCCAGACUCCUACGGGAGGCAGCAGUGGGGAAUUUUGGGACAAUGGGCGCAAGCCUGAUCCAGCAAUGCCGCGUGAGUGAAGAAGGCCUCGGUUGU